rnacentral:rRNA from 1 species
AAUAGAUACCCAGGUAGUCCACGCCGUAAACGAUGAGUGCUAGGUGUCGGGGGGUCGAACCUCGGUGCCGGAGCUAACGCAUUAAGCACUCCGCCUGGGGAGUACGUUCGCAAGAAUGAAACUCAAAGGAAUUGACGGGGACCCGCACAAGCAGCGGAGCAUGUGGUUUAAUUCGAUGCAACGCGAAGAACCUUACCAGGGCUUGACAUCCCUCUGACCGGUGUAGAGAUACACCCUUCUCGUUCGGAGACAGAGGAGACAGGUGGUGCAUGGUUGCCGUCAGCUCGUGUCGUGAGAUGUUGGGUUAAGUCCCGCAACGAGCGCAACCCUUGUCUUUAGUUGCUAACAGGUAAGGCUGAGCACUCUAGAGAGACUGCCGGUGAUAAACCGGAGGAAGGUGGGGAUGACGUCAAAUCAUCAUGCCCUUUAUGUCCUGGGCUACACACGUGCUACAAUGGUCGGUACAAUGGGCGCGACCUAGUGAUAGGAAGCGAAUCCCACAAAGCCGAUCCCAGUUCGGAUUGCG